rnacentral:rRNA from 1 species
UGGGGAAUAUUGCACAAUGGGCGAAAGCCUGAUGCAGCUAUGCCGCGUGUGUGAAGAAGGCCUUCGGGUUGUAAAGCACUUUAGGCGGGGAGGAAAAGCUAAUGAUUAAUACUCAUUAGCCGUGACGUUACCCGCAGAAUAAGCACCGGCUAACUCCGUGCCAGCAGCCGCGGUAAUACGGAGGGUGCAAGCGUUAAUCGGAAUUACUGGGCGUAAAGCGCGCGUAGGCGGUUUGAUAAGCGGAGUGUGAAAUCCCCGGGCUUAACCUGGGAACUGCAUUCCGAACUGUCGAGCUAGAGUAUGAGAGAGGGUGGCGGAAUUCCGAGUGUAGCGGUGAAAUGCGUAGAUAUUCGGAGGAACACCAGUGGCGAAGGCGGCCACCUGGAUCAAUACUGACGCUGAGGCGCGAAAGCGUGGGGAGCAAACAGG